rnacentral:lncRNA from 1 species
CUCCUCUGCUGCCGCCGCCGUCUCCCGGCAGCCGCCGCCGCCGCCGCUGUCCGAACUUGAAGUUGCCGGCGCGCCCGUUGCAGCCGCCGCCGCCGCCGCGGAGGUCGCCGUGGCCGCCGGGGGCCCCUUCUCGGCGCUCUUGUCCCCGGGGUAGUCGGAGGAGGCGAGGUUUUCCGGGGUGCCGUAGGCUGUCUCGAAAAACUGGUCGAAAGCCUGUGGCAGGACGCCGUUCCUGCCCACGGUGCUAUAGAAAUUGGACGAGACUGCGGGGGUGGGGUGGUGGUAGACGUUGGCCGAGCUCUUGGCCAGCACGUCGCCAGGCACGCCGGCCGCGCUGGGCGCCUGCAGGCAGUCUCUGUGCACGAGCUCCUCCGCGGAGUAGCAGUGGGCCAGAUUGCCGCGGGGGUGCCAUUUAGUGGCGGGCUCAAUGGCGUACUCUCUGAAGGUCACUUCGCGCACGGGUUGGACCUGGGGCAGGUUGGAGGAGUAGGAGUAUGUCAUUGGGCGCGAAGACGGGGUCUGGGGCAGAAAAGAAGGGAGGCUGGAGAAAUCUGGACCCGAGACGUAUGACUCGGCAGAGACAGAGGCACAGGGGCUGCCCUGCUGCUCACCGGUCCACCCAUCUGCCUGGUCUUCUGGAGCUGAGGACUCGGGAAACCAUGCAAUUGAGGCAAGCCUUGGGCUGCUUUAGAGGCGCUGACAUCCGAGGAGACUUCUCCUGGGUAUGCUGCAUCUUCGUGGGGGGCCCAUCAGGCUGCUUACAGAGCUCCAGGGGUGUGGGGAGAAUGGAGGUGGAAAGGACGGGCUGAGGGCCAAGGAGAGGUGGCUGAGAAAGGGGUAACCCACCUACUCUCCUACUCUCCUUCCUUGCAAUGUGUGAGAGUGAAAGCAAGGGAUGUGCAGGGCAAAAACUCAGAGAGCUCUGUGCCUUUCCUACUGCUCAUUCCACAGGAGGAAUACAAUACCAGAGAAAGGAGAGGUGCUUCCCGAACUCCC